rnacentral:lncRNA from 1 species
GGCAUGAAUGUUUAUCCAGAUUUCAGUCUGAUAGAGCCCCGAAGGGCAUGAAUGUGUCAAUCCAAAUUUCAGUCUGGUAAAGCCCCAAGCGACAUGAAUAUGAAUCCAAAUUCCAGUCAGUAAAGCUCUAAUGGGAAUGAACACCAAUCCAGAUUUCAAUCCGAUGAAGCCCCGAAGGGUAUAGAUGUUAAUCCGAAUUUUAGUUCGAUA